CGUGUGUGGCAAUACGAAGACGUGACGCGGACCGAAAUAAAGUAGGGAAGCAUGUGAGCCAUGUGCCAAGAAAAGCCGCUAUAGAUCAUACCGUACCCGUACCGUAAACCGACACAGGUAGAUGAGGAGAGAAUCCUAAGGCCGACGGGAGAUCAUUGUUAAGGAACUCGGCAAAAUGACCCCGUAACUUCGGGAGAAGGGGUGCCCACGCGAGUGGGCCGCAGAGAAUAGGCUCAAGCAACUGUUUAGCAAAAACACAGGUCUAUGCGAAACCGAAAGGUGAGGUAUAUGGGCUGACGCCUGCCCGGUGCUGGAAGGUUAAGAGGAGGAGUCAGGCAACGAAGCUCCGAAUUUAAGCCCCAGUAAACGGCGGCCGUAACAAUAACGGUCCUAAGGUAGCGAAAUUCCUUGUCGGGUAAGUUCCGACCCGCACGAAAGGCGUAAUGAUUUGAGCACUGUCUCGACAAUGCACCCGGUGAAAUUGAAGUACCAGUGAAGAUGCUGGUUACCUGCGCCAGGACGGAAAGACCCCAUGGAGCUUUACUCCAGUUUGAUACUGGGAUUCGAUACUGAAUGUACAGGAUAGGUGGGAGGCUGAGAAGCGUGGACGCCAGUCUGCGGUGAGCCGCUGUUGGGAUACCACCCUUUGAGUAUUGGAUUUCUAACCUGCGCCCGUGACCCGGGCGGGGGACAAUGUCUGACGGGGAGUUUGACUGGGGCGGUCGCCUCCGAAAGGGUAUCGGAGGCGCUCAAAGGUUCCCUCAGAAUGGUUGGAAACCAUUCGCAGAGUGCAAAGGCAGAAGGGAGCUUGACUGUGACACCGACGGGUGGAGCAGGUACGAAAGUAGGACUUAGUGAUCCGGUGGUAUGAAAGUGGGAUUGCCAUCGCUCAACGGAUAAAAGCUACCCUGGGAUAACAGGCUUAUCACUCCCAAGAGUUCACAUCGACGGAGUGGUUUGGCACCUCGAUGUCGGCUCAUCGCAUCCUGGGGCUGUAGCAGGUCCCAAGGGUUGGGCUGUUCGCCCAUUAAAGCGGUACGCGAGCUGGGUUCAGAACGUCGUGAGACAGUUCGGUCCCUAUCCGGCGCAGGCGUAGGAUAUUUGAGAGGAGCUGUCCUUAGUACGAGAGGACCGGGAUGGACAGACCGCUGGUGUAUCUGUUGGUGACCAACACCAUGGCAGAGUAGCCAAGUCUGGCAGGGAUAAACGCUGAAGGCAUCUAAGCGUGAAGCCCCCCUCAAGAUGAGAUAUCCCAAUAAGUAAGACCCCUUAGAGAUUAUGAGGUAGAUAGGCUUAAGGUGUAAGCAUAGUAAUAUGUUCAGCUGAUAAGUACUAAUAGGUCGAGGGCUUAUCAA
rnacentral:rRNA from 1 species